UACGCAGGGUGCAAGCGUUAAUCGGAAUUACUGGGCGUAAAGCGUGCGCAGGCGGUUUUGUAAGUUUGUCGUGAAGGCCCCGGGCUCAACCUGGGAAUUGCGAUGAAGACUGCAAGGCUUGAAUCUGGCAGAGGGGGGUAGAAUUCCACGUGUAGCAGUGAAAUGCGUAGAGAUGUGGAGGAACACCGAUGGCGAAGGCAGCCCCCUGGGUCAAGAUUGACGCUCAUGCACGAAAGCGUGGGGAGCAAACAGG
rnacentral:rRNA from 1 species